rnacentral:rRNA from 1 species
CCAGACUCCUACGGGAGGCAGCAGUGGGGGAUAUUGCACAAUGGGGGAAACCCUGAUGCAGCGACGCCGCGUGGGUGAAGAAGCGCCUCGGCGCGUAAAGCCCUAUCAGCAGGGAAGAAGAUGACGGUACCUGACUAAGAAGCCCCGGCUAACUACGUGCCAGCAGCCGCGGUAAUACGUAGGGGGCAAGCGUUAUCCGGAUUUACUGGGUGUAAAGGGAGCGUAGACGGCGAUGCAAGCCAGAUGUGAAAGCCCGGGGCUCAGCCCCGGGACUGCAUUUGGAACUGCAUGGCUGGAGUGCGGGAGGGGCAGGCGGAAUUCCUGGUGUAGCGGUGAAAUGCGUAGAUAUCAGGAGGAACACCGGCGGCGAAGGCGGCCUGCUGGACCGCGACUGACGUUGAGGCUCGAAAGCGUGGGGAGCAAACAGGAUUAGAUACCCCAGUAA